rnacentral:rRNA from 1 species
GACGUAGGAUGCAAGCGUUGUCCGGAAUUAUUGGGCGUAAAGCGUACGUAGGCGGUUUCCUAAGUCUGGGGUUAAAGACCGAGGCUCAACCUCGGGAGUGCCCUGGAAACUGGGAGGCUGGAGGACGGCAGAGGAAAGUGGAAUUCCCAGUGUAGCGGUGAAAUGCGUAGAUAUUGGGAGGAACACCAGUGGCGAAAGCGAACUUUCUGGGCCGUUCCUGACGCUGAGGUACGAAAGCUAGGGGAGCAAACGGG